GAACGCUACCUUCGGGUGGGAGUGGCAGACGGGUGAGUAACACGUGGGAACGUACCCUUUGGUUCGGGACAACUCUGGGAAACUGGAGCUAAUACCGGAUACGCCCUUUUGGGGAAAGGUUUACUGCCGAAGGAUCGGCCCGCGUCUGAUUAGCUAGUUGGUGGGGUAACGGCCUACCAAGACGACGAUCAGUAGCUGGUCUGAGAGGAUGAUCAGCCACACUGGGACUGAGACACGGCCCAGACUCCUACGGGAGGCAGCAGUGGGGAAUAUUGGACAAUGGGCGCAAGCCUGAUCCAGCCAUGCCGCGUGAGUGAUGAAGGCCUUAGGGUUGUAAAGCUCUUUUAUCCGGGACGAUAAUGACGGUACCGGAGGAAUAAGCCCCGGCUAACUUCGUGCCAGCAGCCGCGGUAAUACGAAGGGGGCUAGCGUUGCUCGGAAUCACUGGGCGUAAAGGGCGCGUAGGCGGCGUUUUAAGUCGGGGGUGAAAGCCUGUGGCUCAACCACAGAAUGGCCUUCGAUACUGGGACGCUUGAGUCUGGUAGAGGUUGGUGGAACUGCGAGUGUAGAGGUGAAAUUCGUAGAUAUUCGCAAGAACACCGGUG
rnacentral:rRNA from 1 species